rnacentral:lncRNA from 1 species
UAGCGCUUGGACCGUAAGGGGCCCCUCCGGAGUCUGCACACCCACAGUGAGCGCAGGUACCCAUGUGAUUUGAAACAGUGGUAACAAUGACACUGUAUGAUGCAAUUGGGUCAGGUAACAAUGGCUGACCAUUAUGCUGAGUGAUUGUGAGGUAGUCUAAUGGGGCUGAUACUGUACUGAGAGUGAGCCCGAGGGGCUGAUACUAUGCCGAGCGAUUGAUACUGUGCCCGAGGGGCGGAUUUUUUUUUUACUUGUUAUUUACCUGUUAAAUCACCUGUUUUACUUGUUUUCAAAAGGAAUACCAUUUGAUUUCUUCACUGACUUGCUACUUUAAGUGAUUUUUACUGCUCGAUAUGGAAUUGCUUUGUGCCUUUAUGUAUUUUCAUACUUUCAGCCAUUAUUUGUAAUUAUUACUCACUGAGUCGGAGUACUCACAUUACUCCCUGCACCAUGUGUGCAGAUUCAGGCAUCGCAGAGUCCAUUCCUGAGCGAUGAUUCCUUCCAGGCUAGGCAGUGAUUUGGAGUUACGAGGUAGUUGUUGACGUCCGCAGCCCCUUGUCUCUCUUAUCCUCUAUCAUUUAUGUUUCCUUCAGACUGUUGUAUCAGAUUUCGUACUUUGUAGACCUAUAGCAGAUUCUGUAGUAGCUCAUGACUUGUGACACCCCUGUUUGGGCUGUGUCGGGAUGGUUUCUACCGCUAUUUUCGUUAAAUUCCGCAAUUUAUGAAGAUUAUAAUAUAUGUUAUUACUGUUUAUGAAACUUAACUGUUUACAAAAGGUGUUUUGUUUGGUCUGGCUGGCCUUGUCUUCGCGAGA